GGGCCUAUAGUCUAGUGGUAGGACACAACCCUCACACGGUUGGGGCUCCAGUUCAAUUCUGGAUAGGCCCA
rnacentral:tRNA from 1 species